rnacentral:rRNA from 1 species
UACGGAGGGUGCGAGCGUUGUCCGGAAUCACUGGGCGUAAAGGGCGCGUAGGUGGCGCGGGAAGUCAACGGUGAAAGUUCGGGGCUCAACCCUGAAUCGGCCGUCGAUACUCCCGGGCUCGAGCACUGUAGAGGCAGAUGGAAUUCCGGGUGUAGCGGUGGAAUGCGUAGAGAUCCGGAAGAACACCGGUGGCGAAGGCGGUCUGCU